rnacentral:rRNA from 1 species
UACGUAGGGUGCAAGCGUUGUCCGGAAUUAUUGGGCGUAAAGAGCUCGUAGGCGGUCUGUCGCGUCUGCUGUGAAAACUCGGGGCUUAACCCCGGGCCUGCAGUGGGUACGGGCAGACUAGAGUGCGGUAGGGGAGACUGGAAUUCCUGGUGUAGCGGUGGAAUGCGCAGAUAUCAGGAGGAACACCGGUGGCGAAGGCGGGUCUCUGGUCCGACAUUGACGCUGAGGAGCGAAAGCGUGGGGAGCGAACAGG